rnacentral:rRNA from 1 species
GACGAACGCUGGCGGCGUGCUUAACACAUGCAAGUCGAACGCUGAAGCUCAGCUUUUGUUGGGUGGAUGAGUGGCGAACGGGUGAGUAACACGUGAGUAACCUGCCUCCUUCUUUGGGAUAACGCCCGGAAACGGGUGCUAAUACUGGAUAUUCACUGGUCUUCGCAUGGGGGUUGGUGGAAAGGGUUUUUCUGGUGGGGGAUGGGCUCGCGGCCUAUCAGCUUGUUGGUGGGGUGAUGGCCUACCAAGGCUUGGACGGGUAGCCGGCCUGAGAGGGUGACCGGUCACAUUGGGACUGAGAUACGGCCCAGACUCCUACGGGAGGCAGCAGUGGGGAAUAUUGCACAAUGGGCGCAAGCCUGAUGCAGCGACGCCGCGUGAGGGAUGGAGGCCUUCGGGUUGUGAACCUCUUUCGCUCAUGGUCAAGCCGCAACAAUGGUUGUGGUGAGGGUAGUGGGUAAAGAAGCGCCGGCUAACUACGUG